GGUACAGGGGCUUAAUUGCUCUGUGGUAUGUGGAUUUUCCUGGACCAGGGAUCGAACCCACACUUCUUGCACUGGCAGGUGGAUUCCUGUCUGUUGUGCCACCAGGGAAGUCUGAGGCAUCAUUCUUAGUUGCAUUCACUGGAGCAAAAAUAGGUACAGGUCAUACCAUUGCCAACAAGACUGUAAAACCCAAAUUAUGCUUAAAAAGAAAGCAGAACAACCUAUUGCAGUUUUUUAUAGGGUUUUUUUUUCCCCCAUACAUAAGUGUUAAUAGUAAUUAUUAUUUUAUGUUGAGGCAAUCCCAUAUUUUGCUUUACCAUCAGAUAAAGCCACUGAAUCAGCUUCUGGCAUAUGUGCAGCAAUUAUAUGGGGAGGAUAAUUUAAUGAAAUUUAAUUUUUUUUAUGAAAAUGGAUGAUUAAAAGAGAUUACAUGUUUUCUCUGCUUAACUAAUUUUAUUUAGUCUGUAAAAAAGACUGAAAAGGUUUUGUUGUGAUCAGUACUGAAAUAAGACCAUCUGUAUAUACAACAAAUAAAGCACUGAUCUAUUAAUAAAUGAGUUACACUUGAAUGACAGUGCAUGCAGAGCUUUAUUCAUAGAAUACAGAUAGUGGUUGGCAAUACUUAAUCUUGAUUGUGUUUUUUUGCUCAGUGAUUUUAAAAGGACUGAUUGAUAAUUUGCUUGUACCUAUUCAGGACAGGUAAUUUUGGAGUACAUGACAGAAAACUGGAGUGACGGGUGAUGCUGCUUUUCCAAAGUGAAAGGCACUGGCACACAAAGAAAGUUCAUACGAAGUUUAGAAUGAGAGGAUGGAGCUUACUAACCUUCCAGCACCACCUCCCACCCCAUCUAACUCCCACUGCCAUGUAUUAAAUUGAGCCAUUGCAUCCUAAUUCCACAAUCAUAUGGGUCAUAGCAUUAUGACACAAGUGCUUGUUCUAUCCUCUUUUGUUCAUCUUAAUUUACUGUGUGGAUGAAAGCACAAACAGCAAACGUAAUUACCUUUAUGAGAAGGCUAAUGAUUGGUCAUCUAAUAGCAUAUACAUUUCUAAUUAUCUUAAGAAAACAUAUCCUCACAUCAAUAGUGACAAGAUGAGAUGAAACAAGGAUACACAGAAGGAGAAAGAAGAGUUGGAGAAAGGGAGAGUGAGAGGAAUGAAGGAAGAAAGGCAAGGAGGGAGGCCGGUUGAUGUUAAUCAUGGCAUAGUGUGCUAUAAUGGAAAGACCAAAGGAACAUUGCAUGGAGUCAGAACAUUGACAAUGCAUUCAGACAACCUGGAUUCAAAUCCUUGCUUGGCCACUUAACUGUGUGAUCUUGGGCAAGUUACUUAAACUCUGUGUCUUGGGUUUGUUUAGCUUUUCUUUCUUUCUUUUUUUUUUAUAUAUAAAAUAAGGUAACUUCCUAGGACUGUUGGGAGGAUUAGAUCAAAUAAGAUUAAAAAAAAAACAAAAAACUCCAAAAUACCUUGACUAAUAUACCUAGCUAAAAGAGGAAGUAGUUAGGAAAUGGUGCUUAUUUUGGUGAAAAGUUUAGUGGUUUUAGUGAUAAUACAAAACUUUAAUAUGUUUUAAUAGAAACAUUAUUUACAAAUAUAGAGAAUAAUAGUUCUAUAGUUAUCAAUCAUCCAAAUGUAGAAUUUUUUUUCCUUAGGAGGAGGAUCCACAUUUUAAGUUAAAUGUUGACAGUCUAGUAGUGUUAGAAUAAACAAAUAUAGUAAGGAAUCUGGAAACCUUGCCGUAUGAUGAGAAGUUAAUAACAACAGGGGUUAUUUGGUCAUAUUUCAGGUUGCUUUAGAACAAGAGUUUUUAACUUAAUGUAAUAUAUAGACCCUGGUGGCUCAGAGGGUAAAGAAUCUGCCUGCAGUUCAGGAGACCCAGUUUUGAUCCCUGGGUCAGGAAGAUCCCCUGGAGAAGGGAAUGGCAACCCUCUCCAGUAUUAUUGCCUGGAAAAUCCUAUGGACUGAGGAGCCUGGCAAGCCACAGUCCAUUCUGUUGUAAAGAGCUGGACACAGCUGAAUGACUAAUACACACCAUAUAUAGGCUUCAUGUUGUAGAUGAAGAACAACUAUAUAUUUUUUUAUUUCUUUCCUUUUAUUGGCAAAAAUUUUAUGGCAAAAUAUGUUUUUAAAGUUUUACUUCAAAUAUAAAUAGAGUGGCAUGGAUUCAUUGUAUAAAUUUAUCAUCCUUGUUAUAUAAUGGCAUCUUGAAUAGCAUUACACUCAUCAGAAUUAAAAAUGUAUCUGAAAUU